CCCUUAGAUGUCCGGGGCUGCACGCGCGCUACACUGAAGGAAUCAGCGUGCUAAAACCAUUGUCGAAAGGCAUUGGUAAACCCAUUAAAAUCCUACGUGAUUGGGAUCGGGAAUUGCAAUUAUUUCCCUUGAACGAGGAAUUCCCAGUAAGUGUGGGUCAUAAGCUCGCGUUGAUUACGUCCCUGCCCUUUGUACACACCGCCCGUCGCUGCCCGGGACUGAGCCGUUUCGAGAAAAGCGGGGACUGCUGCUGUCGGGGCUUUUGGGCCUUGGCUUCGGUGGAAACCGCUUUAAUCGCAGUGGCUUGAACCGGGCAAAAGUCGUAACA
rnacentral:rRNA from 1 species